CACCACAAUAUCUACUGGAAAUAUAAUAGAUCUGUGAGAUGGAAAAGGCCCUCAAGAAAAUCUCCCUCACCGGCCGUAUAGCUCUUUGGGAGAGCAACAAUCAGUUCUUCUCCCCAUGGAAUAUUGCAACUGCUUUUUGACAAGUCUUAGGGCAAUAAGGACGCUUUGCACGUUGUUGUUGACCUCUGGCUUGCAGCCCUCCAAAUUGGGAUGCAUGAUUUCUGGAACUAUAAUGC
rnacentral:lncRNA from 1 species